AUGGAAUAGAAUGCCCUGGUCUUGGUUGUUUGGUUGUUGUACAUCAACCAAGUUACUGAUGAAACUGUAUUCCCAGGACAUGAUCUGUGAAAUGCAAAAUGGAACUGGUAAGUUUUCAGCAAAGGAAAGCUACAGCAAUCACAAGGAUUCAGAGUAGAAGUAGAGCUAGAGAAGACAGCCAGCAAUGCAGGAAGGAACUCAAGGUACAAAACCCUUCAAUGUGGAAAGGAACUUCAAAUUAUGGAAAUUGACAUCAUCUUUAUCUUACUGAAUUUUAAUACUCACCCUGGGAGAAGACCUUCAACUAAGAUGGAAAUCAAAAGAUUUCUGUGUUCUAGAUUUAGAGCUGUUUGUCUUUAGAAUGUUUCAACAAAUGCUUCCACAAAAGCUUAUAAUGUUUUUGUUCCCUCUGGAUACAGAGUUUCAUUUAAACUAAGGUGAGAAGGCAUUAAAAAAAGUUCCUGUUAGUAUUUGAAAAUCAGCUUCCAACCUGACCAACUUCUAACCAUAGAGCUACUUAAAAAUAAAAAAUCCUUUCAAAUAUCUUGUCAAGUGUCAGCUGUGAUGCACAGUAAAUAUUCCUGGAGUUAUGGAACAACCCCUCCGAUGUCAGAGGCAUUCCCAAAGAGUGUGCAAAGGAUACUAGGUACAGAGACAAUCCUAAACAUAAGCAGAAGAAAGGCAAUUUCUCUGAGAGCUGGCAACAGUGAGUAGGACCCUAGUCACAGAUGGUGUGCAACCCACAUUUCUGUCCAACCAUAUUUUGAGGGGCCUCCAACCUAACAAUUGCCAGACUAAAUUUGCAGGACACAAGAUGAGACAGACAAACCAAUGGGUACUUGAAAGCAAAUUCAGGAGUCACAAUUCAAAGAUCUAAUUCUUACAAAUGUUUUCUUGUCUGCCAAUCUGAUUUUGGAAAGGAAGGGAAAAGAUGAAAUUUUACCUUCCUCUCUUGCCAAGAACCACAGAUACAGA